rnacentral:rRNA from 1 species
AUUGAACGCUGGCGGCAGGCCUAACACAUGCAAGUCGAGCGAGCGGCGGACGGGUGAGUAAUGUAUGGGGACUGCCCGAUAGCGGGGGAUAACUACUGGAAACGGUGGCUAAUACCGCAUACUGUCGGAUAACCCAUAUGGGAUUAGCUAGUGGGUAGGGUAAUGGCUUACCUAGGCGACGAUACCUCGUUGGUCUGAGAGGAUGAUCGGCCAAAAUGGGACGGGGAAACGGCCAAGACUCCUACGGAGGAAGAAGGGGGGAAUAUUGCAAAAUGGGGGCAGGCCGGAUGCAGCCAGGCGGGGUGUAUGAAGAAGGCCGUAGGGUUGAAAAGUAUUUUCAGUCGGGAGGCGUUACCGAAAGAAGAAGCACCGGCUAACUCCGUGCCAGCAGCCGCGGUAAUAC